rnacentral:rRNA from 1 species
CUACACGGGUAUCUAAUCCUGUUCGCUCCCCACGCUUUCGCGUCUCAGCGUCAGUACCGUCCCAGAGAGCUGCUUUCGCCAUCGGUGUUCUUCCUGAUAUCUGCGCAUUUCACCGCUACACCAGGAAUUCCACUCUCCUCUUCCGGACUCUAGCCAGGCAGUUUCCAACGACCGCUGGAGGUUGAGCCUCCAGAUUUCACGUCGGACUUGCCUGGCCGCCUACACGCUCUUUACGCCCAAUAAAUCCGGACAACGCUAGCCCCCUACGUAUUACCGCGGCUGCUGGCAC